UGCAGAAAUAAAGCAGCAUACCUGCAACCAACUGAUCUUCAACAAAGUCUUUCCCCAGUGCUUAAGCAAGUUUAAGUAUCUUUCAUCUUAAAUCCUCCCCUUCAGCAGGAACCCGUCCUACCCCUUGUGAUCUGACCCUUGCCUCCCUACAGUCUCAUUUCCCACUGUUUCUUAUCUAAUCUGGAAACCACCUCCAGUCUUGCUGAAAUCCGCCUGUAGUAGACCGUGUGCUCUAUCUUUGUCACUUUGCACAAGUUUCUCUUUUUGGCUGCGUUGCCUUUUCCUCCCUCUCCACACUCCCCGCCUGUCCCCUACCACUGGUAACCCCUGGCCUUCCUUUAUGACUCAACACAGGCUUCAGGAGGCCUUUUCUGAGUGAGGAUUUCUGGGUCCACAAUCUCCAGGAGCUCCGGCGAAGUGCCUCACUGGCCACUAAGGUCUUUAUCCAGAGAGACUAUAGUGAUGGGACCAUCUGUCAGUUCCAGACCAAGUUUCCCCCAGAGCUGGACAGCCGGGGUCUCUGAAGUUACCCUGUGAAGAGCACAGACUCUGGGGUCAGAGCUGUAACCUUGGACAAGUUCACUUACCAUUCACUAAGUAUUUAAUGAGCACUUAGCAUUCACUAAGUAUUUAAUGAGCACUUAGCAUUCACUAAGUAUUUAAUGAGCACUUAGCAUCCACUAAGUAUUUAUUGAAUAUGUAUUAGACUCUAGAGAUAUAGGAGUAGACUCAUGGCAUUUAUUUUCUCUUAGGUGGUAUAGAAAAUAAA